AAAGAAAAGAAAAGAAAAGAAAAGAAAAGAAAAGAAAAGAAAAGAAAAGAAAAGAAAAGAAAAGAAAAGAAAAGAAGAGAAAAGAGGUCCAGGAUAAUUUCUGCAUAUUGUAUAUGCAUAUUUACAGAGACAUAUGUACGCCUCUGAUACGUGUUCCAGACUCCGAGUGAAUUUACAACAACUGUACUUUACAAAGCAAAGGGGCUGGGCUGGUACAUGGGGCUGUGACAUACUGGCACUUCUCCCAGGCUGCCAACAUGUACAAUUGAAUCUCAUUUUCCAUUUCUGUUCCUCCUGUGAAAAAUAAGGCUUAAAAACAUUUAUUGAAGUGCAAACUGAUGCAGAGGUGUCUACCCACUGGCAGCCCAAACCAGAGUCGCUGAGGGAUGUGAACUGGCCUUUCAUUUCAGUAGCUGACUCAGAGGUUAUAUGGCAGUGCAGAAGUCAGUGCUAAGUGCUACUUUGCAAAAGGGAGGGGAAGAAUCCCAUCCAGAAGAUUUACACAUCCGUCUGAGUGGCCCUUUUGUUUUCAUGCAGAUGAAGCUACAUCUCCAUCUUCUUAAAGUCAUAAAUAGCAUCCCAACAUGCUAGUGGAUAUCCCCCCCAGCUGAUACUUAAUUUUUAUGCUAAGAUGUAAAGUCUAGAUUUCCAUUUGUUAUGCUGUUUGUACUCUUUUGGCCUCUAUUUAGUAUGACCUGCUUUUUUACCAGCUUUGAAUUAGAUUUUGUUACGGGUUAAAGUUCUCUUUACCAUAUUCCAAAUUAAACUUCUGUGCCUUUUCAGUCUGCAUACAUACUUUGUCAAGGAUGAUACAGAAGACAUUAAGGAGUUCAUUAAAAAAUAUGAUUAAUUAAUUUUAUUACAGUAGCACUUAGAAGCCCCUGCUGAGACAGGAGACCUAUUGCAGUGGGAACUGUAGGGACACAUAAAAGAGUGAGUUUCUGCUUCAAAGAGCCGAAAAUUGAACCAGAAAAGACAUGUUUCCCUUGGCUUCAAGGGAAACUGAAUAAGGGCUUUUGUGGUAUUCUUGAGCAAGCUGAAAGUCCCAUGUUUCAUAGAAACCUUUUUCAAAAUGGGAUCUACUGCUCUUUUUUUUUUUUUUUUUUUUUUGUUAGCACUAUAGUUAUUUGAAAAUAUUCACACCUUUCAAAGAAGAGAAAAAGAAAAGGAGGAAGGAAAGAAUGGCCUCCCCUCCCUUAGCCCCUUUCUGCGGGUUCUGAUAGCAAAGGAGUUACAGAAAUGCAGCAUGAGAGGUGCAACAGUUAAAGACUGUGCUGUCUUCUACCACUAGGCUUGAGUCAAUUUUUCUUCAUUGUACAAUAAAAGUGAAAAAAGGAUGGGUGCAGAGCAGAAGUUUAGUGCCUUUGUUCGUGCAAAGGCAGAGAGAAAUCUGACUUGAGAAACAAGAGAUUCCAGCAAGCUGCUGAGUUCACAAAACAAAUCAUGGUUUGUGCUCAGAUUUAGCCUUCUAAUUCCCAGUUUCCUGCUCUGUGUCUGCUGGGAUGCCCCUCCGAGCUCUCUCCCACCAGCCUAGCAGUCUGGGGAGAGGCUGGGCUGAAUGGGCAAGGUGGGUGCCGUGUGGUUGGUGCUGGGACAUAGCCUGACCUGCUGCCGGCUGCGUGUCCUCUCAGAGGUAGUGGCUUGGCUCCAGCUCCACAACUGCUCUCUGGCAACAUGUUCUGAUCUCCAGUGCCCUUAACCUUGCACUCAAUCACUAAACUUUGGCUGGAUUUUCACUGCUGCUUGCCUCCUGGGGAGAUGCAGGCAGGGUUAGGGGCAAGUGAGGUCAGCCAGCAUCCUGACGGCCACCCCAUGCACCAGGGCUGCCUGCUAUGCCUUCUUGGUCUUCUGCUGCGGCCCAGUAGUGUAGUCCAAUGUAUGAAUUAAAUCUGAAGACAAAAUCAGGAAGAGCAUUACCGGCGCAGGUGUAUGAGGCUGCCAGAGGAAGAAGGGAAGGUAGCCCUAUUAGGAUGAGCGGACUGUUUUGCCUCUUUGUUUGCUUUUCAAAUGCCUUAGAUGUUCUGCAGUCUCUGGCUUCUUGGUGUGUGCCUCAGUUUAAAUUUUCAUAGUACUCAUUUCGCCGCUUAGCCAUGUCAUGUUGUGUUACCCCGUAGCACCACGCAUCAAAACUUUAUAGUGGAACAAACACAACAAUCACUUUAAACUAAUGCUGCCCCUGUUUCAUUAUUCAGCGCAUUACAUCACAGGCUGCCAACAAAGAAGAUCCUGGAAUUACAUUUAAAGGCAUAUUUAUGUAAGGAGUGCAUGUUGCAGGGGGAAGUUUGUCAAUUUGGUGGCUUUUUUUUGUGUGCACUCUUUUCUCCUCUUGGGAGAAGGAGUCCUUACUCAGUACAAGAAUAAGAGGGAGAGGCAGGCAUGAAUCAUCAAAGUGCUACCUCUUACUUGCAAAAUCUGGCUUUAAACUCUGCUUCUUUUGGUGGAGGAACGCUUGUAUCACCCUUAUGCUUAGUGUUGCCUCAUUUUACAACUCGAUUACGGUGUACGUUCUUAAACAGAACUGAGAAAAGGAGGCAGAUAGUCUUGGUGUAGUGGCUUUAUAUUAGUGUGAUUGUGCUAAAUAUUUUCGAUUAGUUGAUGUCCUGAUUUAGAAAAAAUGGCUUUUUUUUUUUUUUUCCCACACAAAUACUGGGAGAACUACUGUGAAUGGCAGAAUUUGGCAAAUGUGGAGCACGCACGUGAGCACAGUAAUAAAAAGGCAAACUGAUGACAAUAUGAAGUCAUACUGAUCAUUCUCUUGGCACGUGUGGGUUUAGUGCUAAUGAUUUAUGAUAUUUAAUACCAUGAUAACAAAUAUUCUUUGGUAUGCUUCGGGAAGGUAAUGAAAGUCUACUGCCAGGUUCUGACACCUUUACUUUGAAUCAUCCAUCAGUUAUCAUGUAUAGAGCUCCAUGGACUUAAGAAGGAGUAAUGUAUCUCUGAACAUGGCAAAAAGAGGAUCAGACUUUAGCUCUUAGGAAAAAACAACACAAAAAUUGGACAUAUAACUUGCAUGGGAUGAUUGUUUUAAUAAAAGCUUUUGCACUGAUGUUCUAUGGAAGCAAGAAAUAUAUCUGCUUUGAUUUUAAGAGGUGUCUUGCUGGAUGAGGUUAUCAAAAAGAACUCCAGUGGAGGACACAAAAGCAUUCAGAAAAGGCACAAUGAAUUUUGACUGCUUUUGAAUCUAUUUAUCAAAGCCAUUGCCAUUCCCAUUUCGACACAGGUGGAACAAUAAUAAAUACCGAACAAAGCAACUCAAUCUGUAUUCAGAGCAUUUCAAUGCAUGGAAAGUUAAAUGCAAAGAAAGAAAGCUUGUGGAGUCAGACCUAUUGACUCCCGCUACUUCUAUUCCUCAUUGAAAAUGAAUGGUGGAUAGUGCACAAAGACUGGCAAGAUGUUUACAUUACUGCGAUUAACAUAUAAUAAGCAGCACAUUCUGUAACACGACUUUAUUAUUUAACUGAAUCAGUUAUAUUCUACAUCAUAGGAACAUAAUCCAGCUAUGAACCUUGACAUUUUCUUUCAGUUUGACUAAAUUUACAUGUCAAUAUUCAAACUGGAGCCAUAUUAUUUCUUGAGCUGCCAUUUAUCCCUCUAGGAGGGUCUUUGUGCAUGAAUGGGUUCCUAUCUGGUAAAGAAGAACUGCCUCUUCUGUGGAGGAUAGGCAGUGGGAAGAAUCCACAUUGAAGUUUUGAGUCUUGGCUUUUAUGGGAGUCAUUCCCUGGGAGCAGCCAAGCAUGGCACCAACAGCUCACUCUAUGCUACUCCAGGUUCAUAAUCUUUCAAAGAUCAGUGUCUGCACAUUUCUCUUUCCUUGGAUUUUUCUUCCACCGUCCCUUCAAGUGUAAAGGAAAUUCCUAGUUGGAAUUUCAUCCUGCUCAGGCGGAAUGACUGCAAAGGCUCAAAGCCUGCCAGGCACUCUGCAGAGUGUGCUCUGAUGAGCACGCAGUCUGGAUCUUGCAUAGUUACUGCUUCAACCAAUGCAGGUCCUUGCUGAGAGAAUGAAAGGAAAAAAAAGAAAAAAGAAAAAAAAAAAAAAGAAAGAAAAAGAAGAAAAGAGAAAAAAAAACUUUAGUCCAGAUUUGCAGUGGAUAUGUCUUCUGGCCAUAUCUAAAAUGCUUUGAGACCCUUGCCUUCAUUGCCUCCUCUGGAUUCUGGGUCAAGCCAUCAGAUACCCUCAUUCUCAGCAUGCUGCAGUGCUUUCACAAAGCUGAUUCAGAUCCAUACAGCAAAGCAAAGAAGUGGAUUUUAAUUUUGAGUUGCAGCUACUGUUGUCAAAGUUCAGUGCAUUAAGCAUGGAUUUUGUUUUCAUUGCUCUCUCAUAACACCAGGAACUGCAUACACUAUGAAACACGUGCUUAAUGUAAGUAAAGUAAUGGAGAAGUAUAUUGUUCUUGUUAUUUUAAAUGUCACACAAGACCUUGCAUUCAUUUCAGUGGCACAAUGAAGCAAACUGCAGUUUUCACAAAGGCACAGUUUUAGAUGCUGGUAGUGAAGAGAUGAAAUGUUCUUCUGUUUUCUUUUGCUGCUGCUCCACAGUAGCACAACAAAAAUCUGCCUCCAUGUUAGAGCAAUGCAGAUUGUUUCCUUCUUCUGGCUGCCUUUUGCUUGCAGAGUGGAGGAUUUUAUGUCCCCCCACCAUCUACAGCCAUAUUUCCUGCAUUCAGUUUGAUAUGCUUUGUGUCAUCUCUAACAUAUCUGUUUUCUCAUUUCAAAUAAAUUACACUGCAACUCACCGAAGUAUUAAAAUGAAACUUGAAUACAAUCAAACAGGGAAUGAGCGAGGACAAAAGCCCACAGUAUAUGAGAAAGAUGGCUUGGAUACUGACCAUACGUUAAGGUAUGAGCUCCCCAGAUGGCUAAUGCAGAAAGAAAAGGGCAGUGCUGCCCAUCCUCUUGAGGUUGUCAUGAAUAAAUGUUUGCAGACUAUAGUGUCAGUCCCUGCCUUUGUUCACUCCCUAUAUUGCUUAUGUUUCCAUUGGUAAAAAGAAAAUCAUCGUUCCUACUGUACUUUCUGUAGGUUUUUCUCACCCUCCUAAUUCCCUGGCUGUUGCUGAAUAGGUGAGACAGCAGCUGAGACAAUCUCACCACCUGCCUGGAAGAAAGGAAAGCUGUUGCACAGAUUUUUUGUAUCCACACUGGAAGUGGCUGCGGGGUUCCAAGAGAAUGGCAAAUUCAGGCCAGCUGACCUGUCUGCACGCAGGGUUCAGACAUACCUUGGGUCAUGCACUGAUACACCCAAGCUCUGCCAGCCUGCUGGCCCAUGCAGCUGCUGGUGAGCAGGCCCUGGCAGAGGCUCAGAGCGAUGCCCCUGGCUCACUCUCUCAUCACCUGCUGGAUGCAGCAGUUGGCCCUGUACCUUUCCACUGCCAGAGCUGUGACAGCUGGUGAUGGCCACAUGAGUAGAGCCACGGUGAAGAAGCGCGUGGAAUUCAACCAGCUGUUAUCAGAACUAUAAGACAAAUCAGAGCACCACCACCUCCACCCAUCUUCAGCGGCUAUACUGUAUAUCUAAAUCUUGUUAGUGCUAGGCGCCUCUGUUGCAGGAAUAGAAUUGAAUCGCUAUUGAACUACUGGCUACAAAUGAUGAAAUCAUAUUAUCAUAUUACCAAGCAUAGAUUUGUAAUCAAAUAAAAGUUCUUCUUAUGGUAUGUUAUAGAGGAUUUUGUGGCAUCAGACCAUUUCCUAAUAAGUAGAUGUUUGAUACGGAGAGAAAAAAUCUUUGCAUUUGGCAUCCUUAUCCAAAGUAUCAGUCCAAAAGGCAAAAUAUGAAUAUGGAAGCGAAAGCAUACAAAUACAGCUGUGACUCUCUUAGUUCCCCCAUUUCUGAACUAAAUUUUCCACUCUGUCUGGCUCUGCAACCAACUUGCUUCUCCUGCAGUUAGGAGAGCACCAUGCACUGUGCAGCACGUGUCUGUAGAGAUAUCAAUGAAGCAACAUCGAACAGCUCAGAUUAUCAUUUAAAAGUCAAUAGUUGAAAUAAAUUACAAAAGGUUUACCAAAAAUGAAGAGGCCCUGCAUCCCAGACUUCGCCCACUUGUUAGUUGGAUUGCAUGAAGUGUAGGAACUUCAGAUUUCAGUGAACCAGACAGCAGCAAGAGAUGGGUUUCUAUCCUCCAGAAGAUUUUGAAGACCCUUGCCAUGGGGCUGAGUUCCUGACAUUCCACCUCCAUCACUUCCAAAUACGAAGGCUCAUUCCCUCUUCAAGUGU